CCUUAAUGCAAGUGGCUAUGAUCCUCUUAAGAUUUGACCCAGAAAUUCCAGGACAUGCCAGAUACCAAAUUAAAUACUAUCCUCAGGGCGAGGAAUGAUCACACGAGACCCCCAGGCGGGCCUUGCAGCCUUGAGGGGCUGAAGGUCACACUGCACAGGACGCAGCAGCCAGGCCCGGAGGGCAGGCAUCUCACAAGACUCCUUUGUACAAAGAGUCCUUCUGGGGACACUUGCCCGACAGAACUUAGAGCAGGACUGGACAUUUUCACAUCAGUGUCCACGCUGAAGAGGAGGACAGACAUCCUUUUUUUUGUUGAACAUUCUCAAUCCACCACUUAUUGGAACCAGCUUUAUGGUUCUGAAGAGCAUCUGUGUUUUUGCAGCUGUAGUGGAAGAGGGAACAUUUUUUCUUUCUUAUCUUGCUGAGAUUUCUUUUACCAGCAGUAAGAAAGGCUUAGAGUUUUCAAGGCUAACUGCUGAAAUUUCAUUAUUUGGCACCAAGAGGAGGGAAAAAAAAGCAGGCUCAACAAUCCUGGAAUGUAGACCAUGAAAAGGCAAAGAGCAGAACAGGAUUGGAAGGCAGGGAGCUGGGGCGCCUGUCAUUUGCAUCUGCAGUGAGACCCAGGCGCUCUGAGCUGGCUUGGGGAGCCAUGGGUGGGGGAGGCUGCCCUACUGUGGGUGGACACAACCUGGACCCAAGUGGCUUAAAUAAAGAGGGGAUUAUUUUCCCCCGACGAAGUGAGGUCAGGAGGCAGCAGUUCAGGGCUAGCGCAGGGCUCCGUGAUGUCAUCAGUGCCCUGCCUCCCUCUGCCUUUCUGCUCUGCCAUCUUGUCUUGGCUUCCAUCCUCAUGGGACCUCAUGGUCACAAGAUGGCGGCUGCAGCCCCAGCGGUCCUGUCCUACCUAUUCCAGGUCGGAAGAAGGAGGAAGGGGUGAAGGGUGAAAACACCAGUGCCGUCUGUUGUCACCCUGCUGUGUGAGCCUUCCCAUGAGCUGCAUUUAAGAACUUGCACUUUCACCUUGUUGGCCCCAAAUCGCCGAUACGGCCACCACGCUGCCAGUUUGCUUGGCGGACUCGCCUCUGUUGAUACUUCUAGCUGCUGAACGGUGUCCCGUGACGGAAGCGCAGCAUCGUCUACUCGUCAGCUCUGUCAUUCCAGCUGCUUCCAAACUGAAAGCCGACGGUGUGGAAGCGCGUCCUGCUGUCUGACUGUCUGGGUUGCGUGUGCGAGUGGAGGAGCUCCCUGGGCUGCGUCCAGAGGGACGGACGGCCAGCUGUGGGUGGUGCAUCUUCAGUGUCGCUCGCGGCCGCUGGCUUUCCUCCAGUGACCACAGCAAUCCUGGAGCAGGGACGCGGCCAGACCAGGCGUUCUCACGCUGCAGCUGCGCCCCUCGGGGCCUCUGAGACCCUUGAGGGGUUCGUGAGGUCACAGCUAUUUCAUUAUAAUAUAAGACGUGGUCAGUCUUCCUCGCUGGCAUUCUCUCAUAAGUGCACGGUGGAAUUUUCUAGACCCGACGUGUGAUGUCAUCACAGCUCUGACAGCCAACGGAAUAUGUGCUUUAAUUUUAAUUAAAAUUAAAUUUUGAGUAUUUAACUUCUACUAUGGUAAAUGUUGAUAGACAAAAUUCCCAUCCACAAAAGCUCUUCGGGGCCCUCAAUACCUUUUCAGAGUGUAAA
ensembl:lncRNA